rnacentral:rRNA from 1 species
UCUUGGUUCAGGACGAACGCUGGCGGCGUGCCUAAUACAUGCAAGUCGAACGGUCUUUCUAUGGAAGCUUGCUUCCACUGAGAAGAUAGUGGCGAACGGGUGAGUAACACGUGGGUAACCUGCCCAUAAGAGGGGGAUAACAUCCGGAAACGGGUGCUAAUACCGCAUAGUUUUCUUGAUCGCAUGAUCGGGAAAGGAAAGACGGCCUUUGUGCUGUCGCUUAUGGAUGGACCCGCGGCGUAUUAGUUAGUUGGUGAGGUAACGGCUCACCAAGACGAUGAUACGUAGCCGACCUGAGAGGGUGAUCGGCCACAUUGGGACUGAGACACGGCCCAAACUCCUACGGGAGGCAGCAGUAGGGAAUCUUCCGCAAUGGACGAAAGUCUGACGGAGCAACGCCGCGUGAGUGAAGAAAGGUUUUCGGAUCGUAAAACUCUGUUGUCAGAGAAGAACAAGUUGGAGAGUAACUGCUCCAGCCUUGACGGUAUCUGACCAGAAAGCCACGGCUAACUACGUGCCAGCCGCCGC